UACGUAGGGGGCAAGCGUUGUCCGGAUUUAUUGGGCGUAAAGAGCGUGUAGGCGGUUUUACAGGUCCGCUGUGAAAACUCGAGGCUCAACUUCCAGACGUCGACGGAAACCGUGUGGCUAGAGUCCGGAAGAGGAGAGUGGAAUUCCUGGUGUAGCGGUGAAAUGCGCAGAUAUCAGGAGGAACACCGAUUGCGAAGGCAGCUCGCUGGAACGUUACUGACGCUGAGACGCGAAAGCGUGGGGAGCAAACAGG
rnacentral:rRNA from 1 species